ACAGAUCGUUCAGAGUUUGAUCCUGGCUCAGGAUGAACGCUAGCGGCAGGCUUAACACAUGCAAGUCGAGGGGUAGAGUUAGCUUGCUAACUUGAGACCGGCGCACGGGUGCGUAACGCGUAUGCAAUCUACCUUAUACAGGGGAAUAGCCCAGAGAAAUUUGGAUUAAUGCCCCAUGGUAUUAUUGAAUGGCAUCAUUUGAUGAUUAAAGUUCCAACGGUAUAAGAUGAGCAUGCGUCCCAUUAGUUAGUUGGUAAGGUAACGGCUUACCAAGACAAUGAUGGGUAGGGGUCCUGAGAGGGAGAUCCCCCACACUGGUACUGAGACACGGACCAG
rnacentral:rRNA from 1 species